rnacentral:rRNA from 1 species
AUACGUAGGGAGCGAGCGUUGUCCGGAAUUACUGGGCGUAAAGGGCGCGUAGGCGGCGCUUCAAGUCGUCUGUCAAAUGGGAGGGCUUAACCCUUUUUCGCAGACGAAACUGGAGAGCUUGAGAAGCAGAGAGGCAAACAGAAUUCCUGGUGUAGCGGUGAAAUGCGUAGAUAUCAGGAAGAAUACCAGUGGCGAAGGCGGUUUGCUGGCUGCAUACUGACGCUGAAGCGCGAAAGCCAGGGGAGCAAACGGGAUUAGAUACCCCGGUAGUCCUGGCAGUAAACGAUGUAUGCUGGGCGUGAGACUAGCGAUAGUUUCGUGCCGAAGUUAACGCGAUAAGCAUACCGCCUGGGGAGUACGGUCGCAAGAUUGAAACUCAAAUGAAUUGACGGGG